UGUAAGUUGUGAUACACGAAGUUAGGGCCUUGGACAAUACUGUUUACCGAAAGUGUCCAAUGGCUUUAAACAACGUUAAGUUUUCUGUUUAUAGAGGCAAUUUCUCCAUGGGAAAAACACUCAGGCAGAAAGGUUCUCUGGCAUUAGCUUCCAAGAAAGGGAAGGAUUGCUUCGCGAUAAUGACAGAAAAAUCAGACAUCAUGAUGAGUGAAAAGUAAUUAUCCUAAUGGAAUGAAGGGUUCUGAAUGAAAAUGACAUGUCUAGGUUUUGUGAAUGUUAAAACAUCAACAUGGUUUGAAUAUACUGAAAGAAGAGUAGUUACUUUGGGAUGAAUCUAUACACUAUUCACCAAGCUGAAAUCCAAUAGCAAAAUCUAUGGGGUUUGGUGAAUGUUCUUAUAAAAAACAUCAGCAUGGUUCGAAUACACAGGUAACGAAGGUGGUUACUUAUUGGAAUAAAUAUAUUCACUCUUCAUCAAGCUGAAAUCCAACAGCAAAACCUAUGGGGUUUGGUGAAUGUUCUUAUAAAAAACAUCAGCAUGGUUUGAAUGCACAGGUAACGAAGGUGGUUACUUAUUGGAAUAAAUAUAUUCACUCUUCAUCAAGCUGAAAUCCAACAGCAAAACCUAUGGGGCUUGGUGAAUGUUCUUAUUACAACAUCAACAUGGUUUGAAUACACUGGUAACGAAGGGUGGUUACUAUAAUUAUUGGAAAGAAUGUUCCCUCUUUAUCAAACUGAAAUCAAACAGCUAAACCAUUGAGACUCGAGUAAAUGUACUACAGUUGUCAAGUUUAAUCCGUAGGUGGGUUUUGAUGGAUUCAUGGAUGAGGUUUUGGGCCAUUUGUUAUAGCUCGUGCGCACAGCUACCAUUAGGCUUUUUGGGAUAUGAUGGACCCAACCUCGUCCCCAGGGUGUGUCCAGCGGUUACAAGGUUUACCGCUCUCUCACCCUGGUAUUGGAUCAUUUGCAUAUCCAAAAAUGUUGGAUACGAAUGCAAAUUAAAAUAGUCUGGCUACUUUUCGAAAUUCACAUAUUCGUCAUAAUCUCGUAGUACGGUACCAGAUUUGAUAUUGUUUGUACAUUGUUGGUUGCCGGCGGCUGGCUGUACCUAUGAAUAUGGAACAUUAUUCUAAUAUUGUAAAGUCGUUGUCCAAUCAGGGUCCAAGUAAGGAGUUUCCAUCCCAGGGUUUACUAUUGUAAACAUAGUUGAAAAUAAAGUAAACCAUGGGUACGAGGUUGUGGUGGACCCUAAGGAGUGCACUGGUUUGGUUUGGGUGUAUACAGAAAGAUUUACCCAAAUCCAAUUGUGACAUAGUGCUGUGUCAACCAUCUCAAAUUGGCUCAAAUAGAGCAGAGGUAAAAAUUGUUCUGCAAGUACGAAUGUCAUUAGGUUGAAAUUCCUGAACGUCAUUCAUUUUCAGGGAAAUGUUUUGAAGUAACAUUAACUUUCGGCGUCAGUUAAUCACAGUCAUUUCCUAGAGAUGAUGAAAAACAAAAACAAACAGCAUUACUUGUACUUGGAUUUUGUUUCUCCGAAUAGCGGUUACACUUUGCGUUAUUUCAAUUUAACUGUCAUGUUGAUAGUUAAUCAUGGUCUCCAUUAAAAUGAGACAUGUAUAGCUCACAUGAACGACAUGGUUUGGGCUGUUAGUGUUUCCAAGAAUGUCUAGGUUUCUUGAUCAUGAAGACGUCAUCACAUUAAUGCUUUAAAGUGAAUGUU